GGGUUGUGAGGUUAAGCGACUAAGCGUACACGGUGGAUGCCCUGGCAGUCAGAGGCGAUGAAGGACGUGCUAAUCUGCGAAAAGCGUCGGUAAGGUGAUAUGAACCGUUAUAACCGGCGAUGUCCGAAUGGGGAAACCCAGUGUGAUUCGUCACACUAUCGUUAACUGAAUACAUAGGUUAACGAGGCGAACCGGGGGAACUGAAACAUCUAAGUACCCCGAGGAAAAGAAAUCAACCGAGAUUCCCCCAGUAGCGGCGAGCGAACGGGGAGCAGCCCAGAGUCUGAAUCAGCUUGUGUGUUAGUGGAACGGUCUGGAAAGUCCGACGGUACAGGGUGAUAGUCCCGUACACCAAAAUGCACAGGCUGUGAACUCGAAGAGUAGGGCGGGACACGUGGUAUCCUGUCUGAAUAUGGGGGGACCAUCCUCCAAGGCUAAAUACUCCUGACUGACCGAUAGUGAACCAGUACCGUGAGGGAAAGGCGAAAAGAACCCCGGCGAGGGGAGUGAAAAAGAACCUGAAACCGUGUACGUACAAGCAGUGGGAGCACCUUCGGGUGUGACUGCGUACCUUUUGUAUAAUGGGUCAGCGACUUAUAUUCUGUAGCAAGGUUAACCGUAUAGGGGAGCCGCAGGGAAACCGAGUCUUAACUGGGCGUUAAGUUGCAGGGUAUAGACCCGAAACCCGGUGAUCUAGCCAUGGGCAGGUUGAAGGUUGGGUAACACUAACUGGAGGACCGAACCGACUAAUGUUGAAAAAUUAGCGGAUGACUUGUGGCUGGGGGUGAAAGGCCAAUCAAACCGGGAGAUAGCUGGUUCUCCCCGAAAGCUAUUUAGGUAGCGCCUCGUGAACUCAUCUUCGGGGUAGAGCACUGUUUCGGCUAGGGGGUCAUCCCGACUUACCAACCCGAUGCAAACUACGAAUACCGAAGAAUGUUAUCACGGGAGACACACGGCGGGUGCUAACGUCCGUCGUGAAGAGGGAAACAACCCAGACCGCCAGCUAAGGUCCCAAAGUCAUGGUUAAGUGGGAAACGAUGUGGGAAGGCACAGACAGCCAGGAUGUUGGCUUAGAAGCAGCCAUCAUUUAAAGAAAGCGUAAUAGCUCACUGGUCGAGUCGGCCUGCGCGGAAGAUGUAACGGGGCUAAACCAUGCACCGAAGCUGCGGCAGCGACACUAUGUGUUGUUGGGUAGGGGAGCGUUCUGUAAGCCUGCGAAGGUGACCUGUGAGGGUUGCUGGAGGUAUCAGAAGUGCGAAUGCUGACAUAAGUAACGAUAAAGCGGGUGAAAAGCCCGCUCGCCGGAAGACCAAGGGUUCCUGUCCAACGUUAAUCGGGGCAGGGUGAGUCGACCCCUAAGGCGAGGCCGAAAGGCGUAGUCGAUGGGAAACAGGUUAAUAUUCCUGUACUUGGUGUUACUGCGAAGGGGGGACGGAGAAGGCUAUGUUAGCCGGGCGACGGUUGUCCCGGUUUAAGCAUGUAGGCUGGUUAUCCAGGCAAAUCCGGAUAAUCAAGGCUGAGGUGUGAUGACGAGGCACUACGGUGCUGAAGUAACAAAUGCCCUGCUUCCAGGAAAAGCCUCUAAGCAUCAGGUAACAUCAAAUCGUACCCCAAACCGACACAGGUGGUCAGGUAGAGAAUACCAAGGCGCUUGAGAGAACUCGGGUGAAGGAACUAGGCAAAAUGGUGCCGUAACUUCGGGAGAAGGCACGCUGGUGUGUAGGUGAAGCCCCUGCGGGUGGAGCUGAGACCAGUCGAAGAUACCAGCUGGCUGCAACUGUUUAUUAAAAACACAGCACUGUGCAAACACGAAAGUGGACGUAUACGGUGUGACGCCUGCCCGGUGCCGGAAGGUUAAUUGAUGGGGUUAUCCGUAAGGAGAAGCUCUUGAUCGAAGCCCCGGUAAACGGCGGCCGUAACUAUAACGGUCCUAAGGUAGCGAAAUUCCUUGUCGGGUAAGUUCCGACCUGCACGAAUGGCGUAAUGAUGGCCAGGCUGUCUCCACCCGAGACUCAGUGAAAUUGAACUCGCUGUGAAGAUGCAGUGUACCCGCGGCAAGACGGAAAGACCCCGUGAACCUUUACUAUAGCUUGACACUGAACAUUGAGCCUUGAUGUGUAGGAUAGGUGGGAGGCUUUGAAGCGUGGACGCCAGUCUGCGUGGAGCCAACCUUGAAAUACCACCCUUUAAUGUUUGAUGUUCUAACGUUGGCCCCUUACCGGGGUUGCGGACAGUGUCUGGUGGGUAGUUUGACUGGGGCGGUCUCCUCCCAAAGCGUAACGGAGGAGCACGAAGGUUAGCUAAUCCUGGUCGGACAUCAGGAGGUUAGUGCAAUGGCAUAAGCUAGCUUGACUGCGAGCGUGACGGCGCGAGCAGGUGCGAAAGCAGGUCAUAGUGAUCCGGUGGUUCUGAAUGGAAGGGCCAUCGCUCAACGGAUAAAAGGUACUCCGGGGAUAACAGGCUGAUACCGCCCAAGAGUUCAUAUCGACGGCGGUGUUUGGCACCUCGAUGUCGGCUCAUCACAUCCUGGGGCUGAAGUAGGUCCCAAGGGUAUGGCUGUUCGCCAUUUAAAGUGGUACGCGAGCUGGGUUUAGAACGUCGUGAGACAGUUCGGUCCCUAUCUGCCGUGGGCGCUGGAGAAUUGAGGGGGCUGCUCCUAGUACGAGAGGACCGGAGUGGACGCAUCACUGGUGUUCGGGUUGUCAUGCCAAUGGCACUGCCCGGUAGCUAAAUGCGGAAGAGAUAAGUGCUGAAAGCAUCUAAGCACGAAACUUGCCCCGAGAUGAGUUCUCCCUGAGACUUUAAGUCUCCUGAAGGAACGUUGAAGACGACGACGUUGAUAGGCCGGGUGUGUAAGCGCAGCGAUGCGUUGAGCUAACCGGUACUAAUGAACCGUGAGGCUUAACCUUACAACGCCGAAG
rnacentral:rRNA from 1 species